GAUGAACGCUAGCGGCAGGCCUAAUACAUGCAAGUCGAGGGGUAACAGGAAGUGCUUGCACUUCGCUGACGACCGGCGCACGGGUGAGUAACGCGUAUACAAUCUGCCUCAUACUAGAGGAUAGCCCGAAGAAAUUUGGAUUAAGACUCUAUAGUAUCAUUUAAAGACAUCUUUUUAUGAUUAAAGGUUACGGUAUGAGAUGAGUAUGCGUUCUAUUAGUUUGUAGGUGAGGUAACGGCUCACCUAGACUGCGAUAGAUAGGGGCCCUGAGAGGGGGACCCCCCACACUGGUACUGAGACACGGACCAGACUCCUACGGGAGGCAGCAGUAAGGAAUAUUGGUCAAUGGACGAAAGUCUGAACCAGCCAUGCCGCGUGCAGGAUGAAUGCCCUAUGGG
rnacentral:rRNA from 1 species